CUCCUGUAUUUCUUUAAGUGAGUUAUUAAUGCCUUUCUUAAAGCCCUCUACCAGCAUCAUGAGAUAUGAUUUUUUAACCCGAAUCUUGCUUUCUGGGUGUGUCGGGGUAUCCGGGACUGGCUGAGGUAGGAGUGCUGGGUUCUGAUGAUGGUGAGCGGUCUUUGUUUCUGUUAGUGAGAAUUUUAUGUUUGCCUUUUGCCAUCUGGUAAUCUCUGGAGUUAGUUUUUAUAGUUGUCUCUGGUUGGAGCUUGUUCCUCCUGUGAUUCUGUUAGCCUCUGUCAGCAGUCCUGGAAGUCUAGCUCUCUCCUGAGUCUCAGUUGUCAGAGUACUCUCUGCAGGCAAGCUCUCCUCUUGCAGGGAAGGUGCACAGUGGUCUGGUGUUCAAACCUGUGUCCUGGCUGAAGAUGAAGGCCCAAAACAGAGCCUGUCCCAGAAGAUGUGUUUCUUCUGCAGUCUGUGCGCUCACCUGCACACACUGGUCUCCAAGGGACCCAGGACACAAGAUGGCUCCCUCGUCUACUCUGGCUGUCAGAGCCCUCCCAGGCAGCUACCUCUCCUCUUGCUGGGAAGGUGCCUGGAUGUCUGGAGCCCAAAACACGUUCUGUCCCAGAAGCUGUGUCGCUUCCGCAGUCAGCUCGCUCACCCUCCACAGUCCAUGAGCUCACCUGUGCAGACUGGUCUUUGAGGGACCCAGGACACAAGAUGGCUCCCUCACCUGCUCUGGUGGUCAGAGCCCUUGCAGGAGGCCACCUCUCCUCUGGUGGGGAAGGUGCAGGAUGUCUGGAGCCCAGAAAGUGGCCUGUCCCAGAAGCUGUGUUGCUUCUGCAUUCCUCAUGCUCACCUGCACAUACUGCCCCUGAGGGUCCUAUUGUUUGUUUUUUUAAGGGAAUACUUUCACUUGAGGCUUGCUUACAGUUUCAGGCAGGGCAAAUGUACUAGAGAAGGCUGCAUGCCUUCUGUGUACAACAUAUGCGGCCAUUCUAGCAGGGAGCAUGGCAGCAUGCAGGCAAACAAGGUGCUGGAAAAAUAGUUGAAUGUUCUACAGCCUGAUCUGCAGGCAGAGGAAGAGAGAGAGCCUGGCUUGGACUUCUGAAUCCUCAAAGCCCACCCCUGUGACACACUGCCUCCAAGGCCACACCUACCCCAGAAAGGCCAUAUCACUUAAUCCUUCUUAGUAAGGAUUGACCUGCAUUGAUGACUAAGCACUCAAAUAUAUGCGCCUAUAGGGACCAUUCUUAUUCAAACCACCAUAGCUGGUACAUUUCUUAAACCUCAUCACCAUUAGGGGAAAUGGUCAUCUUUUCUUGUCAUAUAUAGUUACAGUAGAAGCUGCCUUCUCUUUUCAUAAUUUCUGUUGACCUGGUUCAUUCAGAUUGCAUGUGAUUCACUACUUUCAUACAGAUAGUGUAAGUAGUCCUACAUUAGCAUCUAUCAUUCAGCUUAGUUUCUAGUUUCUAGUUUUGCUAUCUACCUUCAGGUUAGCUUGGGAAUUUACUUGUUAAAGAAUGGGUCAGUAAAACAAUCAGCUAAGCAGGUAUCAGCUAACUAGUGAAGUGUAGCACAUGUAUAUUAGUGGUGAAUACACUUUUACUUCUGGUGAUCAGGACUGAGGGUUCUUACUGAAGAUGUGUAGUUCUCAGAUGACGAAGUGAAAAGUUACCUCCGAGGGAAAAGAAAAGGAAAGCAGGAUGAGAUACUGUGUAGCGUUGCCUGCCAUGAGCUCUGCUCUGUGUAGGCUCUCCAUACUUUCUUCUGUUUUCUGCUUUGAGGAGUGUAAACCUGCUGCAGCAGCUGCAUCUGCGUUUCCUCUACUGUAGUGGCUCUCUGAGUGUGAAUCCAGAUAAGUGAGGCCAUGCUGCAGGACACCACACAGUAUUUAAUUGUGGUUUCUUUUCUUUUUUCUUGGAGGUGACUUUUCACUUCAAGCCAUUUGUGAACUACACAUCUUCAGUAAGCACCCUACCCUGUGUUUGUGGACGGUUUGGCCAGGACUCACUGUAACUGAGAGUACAAUCAGGAAGUGUAGCAUUUUUGCAAAUCAGUUGGGGAUUUGAUGGCAGCUGUCUCACCAUGCAACCUAGGCUGGCCUCAAAUUGGCAAUCCUCCUGUCUCAGUCUCCUAAAUUCUGGGAUUAUAGGUUGUAUGCCAGCACAUCUGGCUUCCAUUGUGCAUUAAGUUCUGCUCAGACAUUAAUUCCAUUGGCCUGAGUAAUUAAACCAUGAAGUCUUAUAGUCAUAUGAUAUUUUAAAAAUAACAGAAAGAGAAGCCUUCCUUCCAGCAAUGAUGCACCCUGUGAUGAUGCACACAGAAUGCUGAUACUGCUGAAAGUCUGAAGAGUAAUGCCUUUACUCCGAAGCUCCGAGGGCACAGCCAUCUGAGAGUACCAUCUAGGAUGCCUGUGAAUGUGAUGGGCAGGAAACGUGGCUCAAGCUGGGCUAGGCAUAAGCAGCCACAUUCUCUCACAGACAAGUGGUUCCUAGAAGGGUGGACUCUUGGCUUGGUGAUUGAUGUUAGCAAGGGCUCUAGUUAUUCCCACCCUCCACUUCACUCAGAGCUUGGGAAAGUUGGGUCUCUGGGUCCCAGCAACAUGGACAUAGAGAGACAUAUGGGUUGUGUCCUGAGCAGAUACAUCUGUACUGCAAACUUCUCAAGCCAUCUUCCCUCAUAACUUCUAAUGCUGAGUUGUCCCUUUCCCCAUUUUAAAACUAGUGACUGCCUGAAAAAUGAUGACCCCACUGUUGGGUACUUAGCCACCAUGACAAACCUCAGGGGACAGAUUUCUAGUACAUUUCUAGUAGCCAUAGUUUUAUAAGUAAUUAAAUUUUCAGCAGUGUGUUUUUAACCCCAUGUAUUAGUUACUUCUCACUUUGCUGUGCUAAAAUCUGACAAAAACAGCUUAAGAAUGGAGGCUCAGGGUCUGAGGGAGCAGUCUCUUGAGGUGGCUGCAGCUGUGGCAACAGGAGUGAGUGUAAGAUAUCUGGUCAUUUGUAUCCAUGGUCAGGGAGCAGAGAGGCCAACACCAGCAUAGCUCCCCUGCCCCCAGCAAGAUAGUACCUCCCACAUUCAGGGUGUGUCUUCCCUCCUCAUUCAACCUCUCUGCAGACACCUGGACAGAUGUGUAAUGCUGUGUCUCCUAUGUGACAACAGAUUGACUUGUGAAGGAUAAUCAGCACCCCAGUAAAUCAGAAUGCCACUUACCAUGUAACCAGCGUUGAAGAUUGUUGAGAUCAAGGCCUCCUUUCACACCUGAGCUAUGGUUGGAUUUUUUUUUACCUGUCCCAAGUUUCACAUGGCCACGUUUCACAGACCAUUCUGUUUCAAUAGUCACUUCUGUGUCUGAGAGUACAGACGCAUAGGCUGAAACCCAAGAACACAGGGGUGAGUCCCUGUCUGUCUUCACAUUCAUCCUUCACACUUACGGGGAUCUGUGUUCUUGCCUUUGUGUCUUCCCUGGGCUUUUCCUUCUGUCUGGCCCGUUCUGUCCUGGCUCAUAGAGGAACUUUAAUUUAAAUUUUGUUAUAUUCAUCACAUCCAACCAAGCCAUUAUUCCGGGCUAUCCUCAAACUUGUGAGUAUAAGUAAGAAUCUUCUGUCUUUUUUAAGCCAAAUUUGUGUUUUAAUUUCUUUUCCAUCUUUUAUUUUCUGUGUAUGUGUGUUUGCCCCCAAUGUGCAUCAUGCCUGUGGAAGUCAAAAAAGACAUCAAAUGACCUGGAACUGGAGUUAAUGAAUGCUUGUAAACUACCCUGUGGGUGCUGGAAACCAACCAACGUCCUCCACCAGAUCGACAGGAUCCUGUAUUAGAAAGAUGCUCCUAUCUGGACCGGUGAAUCCUAUGAUGGUAAAGGCUGGAUGAAGCCACACACUGAUAUGUAAGACCUCAGAAGCACACAGCAGCACAUGGGAAUCAAUAAGCAAGGAGGCCCAGGACUUGUCUGUGGGAAACAAAGCCAUUGCUGAGUGGAAUUAAAUCUCUAAACAAAUGGCGGGCGUUUGAUCUCCACAGAUUAGAAAAUACCUUACUCUUCAGUUGGCACGCUUCCCCAAAUUGACACUUUUAGUACAAACUUGACAAAAUCCUAGGUGGCUUUAUUGGGUACAGACUGUCAAGCUUAUCUAAAGGAUGCAGGACUGGAACUCAAGCAGGUCAGGAAGCAGGAGCUGAUGCAGAGGCCAUGAAGGGAUGUUCCUUACUGACUUGCUUCCCCCUGCUUGCUCAGCCUGCUCUUUUAUAGAACCCAAAGACUACCAGCGCAGGGAUGGUCCCACCCACAAGGGGCCUUUCCCCUUGAUCACUAAUUGAGAAAAUGCCUUACAGUUGGAUCUCAUGGAGGCGCAUCCCCAACUGAAGCUCCUUUCUCUGUGACAACUCCAGCUUGUGUCAAGUUGACACACAAAACCAGCCAGUACAGCUGGUAUACUAGUGUGGUAUGACAUGGCUACUUUGUUUAUUUUGAAUGGUGACAUCAAUUUCUGACACAUGAAAUGUGGGGAUACUCGGUAAAUAACUGAAGACUUGCCUUGCGCGAUCUCUGAAAACUACAGAUAACGGUGUAGAUCUGCACUUCUGCCUUCAGAACGAGAUGGGAGUAAGCUAGACCCUCAGCUUGUAAGGCCUACUAGCUAAGGAAAGAGAGAAUAGAAACAAGGAAAGGAUAAUGUUUCCUCAAAAAUUACAAGUAACAGCAACAACAAAAUGCCCAGAAUUUUCUAGGCUAAUUGUUGUAGUGAAAAGUAGUUUUUGUUUUAAUUGUUUUUUGUUUUUGUUUUUUCUUGUGUGUGUGUUGUUGUUGUUGUUUUCCAGUAGAGUCGGGACCGGGCAAUUUAAGGUAUUAUUUUUUUUUAAAAGAAAAGUGUUUAAUCGUUUUCUUAUCUAAAGUCAAUCUCACACAGAACACACAACCUGACCCUGGAACGGCCUCCCCCACUAGGUGGCAAAAGUAAGCUGCAGGAGAGACAGAAGCACCCUGACUUUGAGUCUUUAUGGCCACCACUUUGUAACACACUAGCCAUUGGGACUAGGGAGUCCAAGCUGCCCUGGAUCCUGUCAUGUGGAAGGAGAAGAGUGCCAGCAUGUGUGUGCACGUGGGGAAAUCCGCGUCACCAGGAAGGUAUCAGGGGUCCACAGGGGCGAAACACGCAAACCACUUACAGCUGAGUUCUAAGACAUCAAAUGAAAGCACACAAUUCUAAAACAUCAUACUUUGCUCUAAACAUUGAUUUUACCGGGAAUACUGAAAAUUACCAUCAUCGACGUGUUUGUUCCAAGGUCCUAAGAAGGUGCUAUGGAAGACCCCACUUUAACUAGGACAGUGAGUCUCAUAGCAGUGACAGGGUGGCUCUCAGAAGUCAUUUCUAACCUAGUUCUGUCAGCUGCCAGCCCACCUGGGCUUUUAUGAAUAUAAAAAGUUUUUGUAAGCUUUACCAGUUUCAUGGAUCUGAGAAUAUGCUUUCAAAAAGAAACAGCCAGUACAAACUGGAGCUUUUAAAAUGUCCUAGUCAGAGGUUGUAGAAGUGGGCAAACAAUACUCUUAUGUUCAUGUUAACAUCACUAGCCCUUUCCUGUCCUUUCUCUGCACAUGUCCUCUGCAUUGUCCUUCUGUCUCUUGCUGUCUCUGAAGGGCAGCAGGCUAUGCUUUUGUUCUGGUGUAGACUGUGUUGCUGAGUUGGUGACACCUUCCCUGCAGGCAGCAUCCUACAGAACACUUCAAGGGAGACAGCUCAAGUUGAGCCAGCACAUUCUAUCAGUUUCUACCUCCAAGUACAGGCUCAAUACUUGAAUUGUUUCAGCUUAACAUUUUAAUUUAAAAAGCAGGUAGUCAUUAUACAUCAUUCAAUUACUGGUUGUUCGGUAUGCCUCUGUGCAAGGAAAAAAAUUAGGAACACUUAUUGCUUUUCAAACAAGAGGCAGUAUGUUUCGAUGUUCUGUGAUUGAGUAAUUUUAAAAUUGUUGGCCAUCAUUUAGAUCAGUUUUAUGAAAAGAAGCCCUAUUUCAUUAAUUUUUUUUUCAUUUUAGGCUCCUCCAUCUAUGUAGCUAGUAGAACUCACAACAGAGGCUUCUGUGUCUUCCAGGUAUUGAGCCUUGCUCACUGACUUGGAGGAUUUAAAAUUUGAUCGCUCAAUAGAGGAGUAAGGAUCUGCUCAGCAAUGCUGCAUUAUAAAGCACCUUCAGGUGCCAUAGUAUUUCAUGCCAAGUGAUGCAUCCUGUAGACUUCACUAUGAUGUGCCUGUGUCUGCCUACAGUUAAGCUUCUCCUCUUUAAAAAAAGAUUUUAUUUAUUUAUUAUAUGUAAGUACACUGUAGCUGUCUUCAGAUCUCAUUACAGGUGGUUGUGAGCCACCAUGUGGUUGCUGGGAUUUGAACUCAGGACCUCCAGAAGAGCAGUCAGUGCUCUUAACCGCUAAGCCAUCUCAUCAGUCCCCAAACUUCUUCUUCAAGGUAGUUGCUUAACACCUCAAACUGUAUUGUUGCAGCUCUUGCUGCUAACUGGGAGAUUAAUCGUUUCUGUUGUUUCCUUUUAAAAGAUUACAUUGUAGCAGGUUUUUUUUCUACUUCAGUAACUACUCAAGUAAGAAUAAUCCAGAGUAAAAGAUAACACAAAAGCUAAGUCAUGCAAUAACUUUUUAUUAAAUUCCUUGCGUGUACACUGUGAGGAUAUGUAUGUAUAUGGGUCUGAAGUCUCUCUUUGUCAUAGGUCAAGACAGUUCAUUUGUGUUACAGAUUUUCUUCGGUUUACAAUGUUUGAUCUUAAACACAGCAUUCUACCUCUGAAGCACGAACCAUAAAGUUUCCAAUUUGAAGAAAAAUAUUUACAAGUUAGUUAAUUUAGGUUAUCUUUGAACCCCACUGGAGAAGACUCAAGGCUGGUCUCCAGAGUCUUCCUUUUAGACAUCCCAUCAGUGGCCAGCAGAACAAGAAGCUUCCGUCUUGUUCCUUUGUGGGAUAAUAGGUACUUUCCCAUCAUUAGUUAAUCCUAGAGACAAACAACAAAUAACUGGAAAUAUCUUAGUUUACAUUUAUAUUUCUGGUGGCAUUUGUGGGCCAAACAGUAAUGACAUAUGGUCUUGGUCAAGGAACAAUAAUUUCAUUAAAUAGAGUUUCAGAAAUACUUAUUAAUCUUUAUAUGCCCCACCCACACCUCCAAGGAAAGCUAAAACUUGUGAAUCAAAUAAAAGCAAAGAGAAGUCUACAAUUCUUCCUUAAGGAACAUGGAACCUCACUGUAGACUGCUCAGGGAGGGUGGACCUAAGCCUUUACCUUUAAAGUUUGAAGUUUAAGAAUCAUUUGGUUUACACACUCUAUAGAGGAUGUACAGAGAGUUUGUCUAAAAGGCAUCUGGAGACUGCUAGGAGCAUGAGGCAUGAUAAAAAUUCAAUUGACUUUUAAAAUUUUAAGACAUUGAGUAUAAAUACACGAUUCUGAAAUAGAUCAUACUUUGCCACUAAUAGUCAUUUUCUUUGUAAUUUCAUUUAAAAGCAUAAUAUUACUUAAGAUGCAAUUUGGAUACCUAGAAUACUGUGUUCUUUGUUUUAGUAAAUAAAACUUUAAUGAGGAUUCAGGACUCUUAUUUGGUAUCCAUCUCACUAAGAGACUUUUGGCAAUUUUUAAGAAGGAAAGUUUGCACAAAAGAAGCAUUUCCUUAUUACCAGCUUUGUUCCUUUGAAGUAUAUGGCAGCUGACAUCUGCCUGAGUGGGUCCUGCAAAGACGUCUAUUGUGUAUCAUUAGUGGUGCAGUAAAUUGGUUAUUUAUGUUUUAAAGUCCAAUCAUACUGGGAUCCUUUGUUUUGCUUUUGAAGAUUGCUGUUACAAUAAAACAGUUGUGGACUAAGUAAAGUUGUCCUGUUCGUUUAGUGACUGCUUCAUUGGAACCUAAAAAUUCCCUUUCCACCCACUCAUCUCCUUAUUAUUAGAAUGGGAGAAAACUUGUAAAUUACCUCAAACGUUAUGAAAAAAUCACGUAGUGUUUUUAUCAUUGCUUUAAUAGUCACAGGGAAGAAAAACAAAAGCAGAAACUUACAGAUUAACCCCAAGCCUGAGCUCAAGUUCAUAGAAACAUUUGCAUGUGCUACAGUUAGACUGCGUUACCUUUCAAUAGCUGUAUAGUACUUUUCUCUUGUUGCUAACGUUGAAAACACAAGCAGACUAUGUAUUUAAAAACUCAUUUUAGUUAGGCAGUGAUGGUACACGCCUUUAAUCCCAGCCCUUGGGAGGCAGAGGCAGGCUGUGUGAGUUCAAGGCCAGCUUGAUCUACAGAUGGAGUUCCAGCACAGCCAAGUCUAUACAAAGAACCCUCAUUCCAACAAACAAACAAACAAAUGAAAAAUAAAACAAACCACCUUUAAAAAAAAAAACUCAUCAUUUUAGUGCUGCUGUUUAAAUUUUAUGCAAGUUUUUAAAAAUAGAUGGCUAUACAAUUUUUUAUUAUUUCCGGCAGAAACAAUCAUAUUUUUGUAUCUAAAGAUUGUAUAUUAUAUACUAUUGCCUAAUAUGAAUAUUUAACUGAAGAAAUACAAAUAGCUAAAAUGUUCUAUUUAGCAACUAAACAUCCUUCAUACUACCUGAGUUGUGGGCUGACAGAGAAUGGAGUUCAUGUUUUUAUCUUUAAUAACAUUUUUUAACACACACACACCACAUGUACACAGGACACAGUAUAAUGAGAGUCAGUAUUGGCUCCCUCUGAAUUCCCUGAGAAAAAUGCAGAAUUACUAAGAUAAAGACAAGGAGCUCUGUUUGCACACAGUUCAAAAAAAGUCUUUUUCUGUCUAGAUAAAGGUGUUUUCUUUCUAAUUGAAGCUAUUCUCUGCCCCAUGCUCAAAGCCCAUCUCCUGGGAAAAUCUUUUUACUGUUGGGAUUUGGUUUCCCAGAAAUCUCCCAUUAUCUUCUUCAGUGGCUCCUUUUCCUUUAUCCCAACUUUGCUGUCCCUGCCUCUGCCUAGAACUCUAGUACAAUUCCCUCUUCCUCAGCUGCCAAACUCAUGCCCCUCUUCCUUCUUACUUACUGCAAGAUGGGACUGUGUGAUUUUCCCCACCACCACCAUUGUAACUCUUUUGGCCACAAUCUCCGACGUUCUACAAGCUUCCACAUACAAGGCCCCUCUUCAACUUCCACUUAAGAUUGCUUCUCUCCUUAUGACCUUUGGCUCUUUGUCUUCUGUUGAUUCCUUUUGUGCUAUGUGAUAGCCAAGGUUUUGUCCUGGGAGUUUUGGUUCUUUUUGUAUAUCAACCAGUUUCAUGUGCUGCACUGUUAAUUACAUUUUGAUGUCUUCACAUCUUUAUUUGUAUCAACAAAAACCUGUUUCUUUAAAGGAGAGAGGUUGAUUUUUUAAAAUUGGUUCACAUGAUUCUGAUGAGGCCAGAGUCUAUAAAGUAGGCUGGUGUCUGGAAGCAGGUCGAAUGGAUGCUGUGGUCUUGAGGAUUAAGUCUUCAGGGUGAGUCUAGCUUUAGUGUGCCAUAGGCUUAAUCCUUCCUUUCCAAGAAUCCUCAGCUUUCCCUCUGAGAGGCUGUGUGCUGUAAGGAAGGCCUGCCUUUAUGGAUGCUGAUUGGACUAGCUAAUUGGAAAUGCUAAUCACAGCUACAGGGUGCUUUCACAGGAACAUCUAGACCAGCCUCUGGCUGAGCAGGCUGGCCACCAGAGCCUAGCCAAGUUGACACAAAAAUUAACUGUCACACUCCCUUACCAGGUACAGGAUUAGAUUUUAUGGGAUCACUGGAAACCAUGGAGGCUAAGACUUGAUUCUUUGAUCUUAUAUUUAGCAAGCUGACUUGCUUUGGGCAUAUUUCUUUUUUUUUAAACUUUUAUAGAUGUUUUAAAUUAAUAGAAUUAUAUUCUUCUCCCUUGCUUUUCUUCCCUCCCACUUACUCUCUCAAGAAACCCAGUUUCACGCCCCCAAUACCCUCAAGUUGUUGCCUUCUUUUCCUUUGAUUAUAUUUGUUCAUACACACAUACACAUAUGUAUGUGUGCACAAUUAUAUGUUACCUGGAUGAACUGUAGAUGAACUGUAGGUGACAACAUGGCACUAAUAUUUGCCUAAUUUCCCCAGAAACAGGACAGUCUGUGGCUGGGUAGCUCAGCUGAAGGUCUCUUUAAUGUAGAUCACUAGAAGGUUAACUGAAGCUGACAUGAUUUCCAAAUGGCAGAUUUAUAAACACAGUGUGUCUUUCUUUAGUCCUUGAUGAAUCAAUAUGUUGUAUUGCCAUUUAUGGUAAGUAUAUUGGUAUCAUUACUGUUCCCUAUGUUUAGUGAACCAGGUUUUAGAUAUUUGAAAAAAUACCUUUUAUAGUUUGAUAAAGCAAGCAGAAUGGUUUAUUUACUUGUGAAAAAAGUUCUUACUUUACUUUUUUUUAAAUUGGUCAUGUAAUUUUGAUGAUAAAUACGCAAGUGUUCUGCUUUGCUGUUCUAUUAUAAAAUUGAGUGGUCUGGGAAUUAUAGAAGUAUCGGGGAGAAUACUCAUGAUUUUUGUAAUGUUUGAUAUAACACACUUAUUGCUAAUCUGUUUAUACUUGUACACUCAAUACUUGAAAACUUAAGCAGCCUCUGACUGUGGUUGCAUAUGCUUGUAAUCCCAGUACUUAGGAGACAGAGGCAGGAAGUUCAGGAAUUCUAGAGGACCCUUGGCUCUUGUAACAAGUUCAAAACCAGCCUGGCCUCCGUGUGACACAGUCUUGAAAGCAAAGUAAAACAACUUAAGAAGAUGUUUGUGGAUGCAAGUAACAAUCCUGUUGUAGUCAUUAGGGGUAGUGCAUAGCUAGUGGAUACAAGUACUAACCAAGUCAUGGGCAUUAAGGACUAGUGCAUAGCUAGUGGCUUAUACAGUACGCUUCUCAACUGUAAUUACCACCUUUGCAUCAUCUUUCUUAAUGAAGAUGGCCUUUCCCAAUCAUAAGUUGCCAACAAUUGAAUAUUAAUCUAUAUUUGUUAUAAUUCAUCAAUAUGAAAUCCUUUAAUUACUUAGACUUAACUUAGACAAAAUGUAUCAAGGUAUAAUUAAUCUUUUUACAUUUAUUUUAUGAUUUUUUUUGUAUAUGGGUAUUUUGCCUGCAUAGCCACAUGUAUGCCUAAUGCCCAUGGAGAGCAGAGCAGUUCAUUGGGUACCCUGGGACUGAAAUUACAGAUGGUUGUGAACUGCCAUGUGCGUACUCGAACUCAAACCUGGGUCUUUUGCAAGAGCAACAUUGAGCCAGCUCUUAGACCCAUGGGGUAGGUUUUAAAUCUGAACCUCCGAUGAACUCUGAGUCUGUGUUCUGGUUGCACAUGGCCUGAAAGCUUUGAAAUAUCUGUGAUCCCUGCUUCUCUACCUCAGCUCAACAUCAUAGACUGUCACAUUCCUCUGCAGGUGUGUAAGUUAGUUAUCAGUGAAACUGUUAAUGCUGUUUGUUAACCAGACUUGUGUCACACUGUAGUAAUUUUAAUGUAUCUAGUUACAGUUCACAUGCCUUAGAUUUUAUUAUUAUUCUAGCUAAUUCUUAAAACCUCACUAUGAGCUAUGUCUUAGGGUUUUUGUUUUUUGUUUUUGUUUUUGUUUUUGAUAGAGUAUAGAACUGUUGCACUUUUAUUUUGAUUGACAAAUAUGGAAAACUUUGGCACUCAAUCAACUAGCAAGAUUUAACUAAUUUUAUGAUAGCCUUUGACAUUUGCCAAGGGCAGAUGAAUAAAUUCUAAUGUUCUGUGUUUUAUACGGAAUUACCAGUGACAGAAGUGAAAAUAUCAGUUUGGGAAAACAUUAUCCGUGCUUACAGUCUACAAUCACAAAUGUGGACUAGGGCAGGACAGGGAGUGAGGAGGGAGAUGCUGUUGACUGGGAAAUGUCUAUUCCAUCCCAGAGACACAUCUGCCCCACCACCACCACCUUAAUACUCAGUUUUAUUCAAUGCUAUUUAGUUGUGUCCCAAAAUGUGUGGUACAGAUAUUAAAUUCCAGUACAUACAGAUGUCAAUAACCAUUUACAGAGAAAUGGAAAGGGUUUUCUCUGAUAAUGUCACACCUGCCCACAGACAGGACUUGGUUAUAUGUGCUCAUUACAUGUCCCUGUCUAAGCUAUUCUCCACUAAUCUCCAACUGACCCUGAUGCCUGGCAGGCAGACAUCUGUGUGCUCUAUGCCAACCACAGGAAUUCAGCACAUGGGUCCUUAACUUCAGUUCAAUAUUUGCUUAUGGUUCCCAUGAGAUGUGCCAGUUGACAGAGGUCUGCGCACCUGCUGUGAGGGUGUAAAGGAUGAAAAGCACUAGCACGGCACUAGGCAGCCCCUCAGCUCCCUCGGGCACCACCUUCAAAGGCAGCCACUGGGGUGCCAUCUCCCACCCAGUAUGGUUUUUGGCAGUAACAGAAACUCACAUAUAUGAGCUUGUAUGGGAUGUGUGCUGUAUAGGUGAUUACUUGCCAGAGUGUUUGGGGGUUCAUCCCUAGUGAGUGUAGCAUCAUUUGUCUAUCUCUGCUAUGGAAGAGUAUUGUGCUUUAUAAACUCCACUUGCUUGCCCAUCUCUUUUCCUAUGAGCUAUUUCUCGUUUCCAACUAUUGUGAAUACAAAUGCUGUAAACAUUCUUACACAAGCCCUGCUCCAAGAUGGUCUUAUUUCCCUUGGAUCAGUCUCUAGGAGUGAAACGGCUGAACACACAUAUAUUUACAUAUGACACUGUUUGACAAACCCACAAGGGAGGAAGGCAGGUUUUCGUACCUACACAUCCUUUGCAACAUUUGGUAGCAAUCUUUUAGUUUGGAACUCUGGUGAAUACCUAAAAGUGCUAUAUUGUGGGGGUUUAAUUUGUUGUUUCUAAGUAACCAUACAUGCUACAUAUGAAAUUUGUUGUUGCAUAUGAAAUUUCAUGUGGGUUUAUUGAUCAUCUAUAUCUAUAUCUAUUUUUUAUAAAGUCUACUCCAGUUUUUGUUUAAGUGACACUCCUUGUCUUUUUAUAAAGUUGUGCCUAGAGAAUAGUCUUGGGUAUGUGUUUUAAAUGGCAGUUAUAACUUGUGGCUUCCUUAUUCUUUUCCUUGCUGGUAUAUUUUCAUAAGCAGAUGUUUUUAAUUUUAAUGUAAUCUAUGUUAUCCUUUUAUUGAUGAUGAUUACUUAUCUCUCUUGAAAAUCUUUGUUCAUCCCAUGUUGUGAGGAUUUUUAGCUUGUGCAUCUCUGUCUACCAUAGCCUUCAAUUUAUGUGAAGCUGACGAAAAGACUGAGAUUUGUACCCCCUACAGGUAUUCAGUUAUUCAAGCAAGGAUUUCCUUGCAUUUUGUUAAAAAAAAGUCAAGUGAGUAAAUAAGCAUGAGUCUGUU